rnacentral:rRNA from 1 species
UUAGGACGAACGCUGGCGGCGUGCCUAAUACAUGCAAGUCGAACGGUCUUUCUAUGGAAGCUGCUUCCACUGAGAAGAUAGUGGCGAACGGGUGAGUAACACGUGGGUAACCUGCCCAUAAGAGGGGGGAUAACAUCCGGAAACGGGUGCUAAUACCGCAUAGUUUUCUUGGUCGCAUGAUCGGGAAAGGAAAGACGGCCUUUGUGCUGUCGCUUAUGGAUGGACCCGCGGCGUAUUAGUUAGUUGGUGAGGUAACGGCUCACCAAGACGAUGAUACGUAGCCGACCUGAGAGGGUGAUCGGCCACAUUGGGACUGAGACACGGCCCAAACUCCUACGGGAGGCAGCAGUAGGGAAUCUUCCGCAAUGGACGAAAGUCUGACGGAGCAACGCCGCGUGAGUGAAGAAAGGUUUUCGGAUCGUAAAACUCUGUUGUCAGAGAAGAACAAGUUGGAGAGUAACUGCUCCAGCCUUGACGGUAUCUGACCAGAAAGCCACGGCUAACUACGUGCCAGCCGCUGC